ensembl:lncRNA
UAGUGUAUUCAGCUGGGAAAUGGUGGUGGAAGGCUGAAAUAGGUGAAGGUGAAAGUGAUGAUCAACAGAGAACAGAGAAGCGUACCCAUUAAAUAAAAAUGAAUUAGGAAAAAAAAGGUGAAAAAUCAUGAUGUCACCUACAUCUCCACAAACUGAAUAGUCCUCCGGUACUACAGUAUAAAAUGUUAUAUAUAUACAUAUUCAUCUAUUGAAGAAGGAAUGUGGAAAUCUUCUGGAUGACUAGUAAUGUAUAUAGAAGCCAACAUUAAGAAGGUAAAGAAGAAAGGCCUUUUCCUGCUAGCUUGAAAAUCUGGGCAAAGCAAAGAGUACUACUGGAUCUUAUAGGAAACUGGAUUCUUUACCAUCAAAUCCUAAAGUUGUAGGAGACAAGCACUCUGUUUUAUGAGGAGACUGAGGCACAGACAAAAAGGUAUCCAGAUGGUGGACAGCCAAUUUAAGAAAGGGAAAGACGCUGCACAGUCAAUGAAGAGUGAGGAAGAAAAACACAUGGAAGAGACAACAGUGGAGUGAGUGGAUAUUGCCUAGAGGAAGCUGCAGCCCGUGGAGGUCCCAUGCUGGAACAGAGGAAAACGUAAAGAAUGAGCAGCAGAGACAGUGCCAUGCACUGACCACAGAUCUUAUUCUUCAACCACCCUGCACUGCUCAGAUAAGGAGGAGAUAGAGAAGUCCAGAAUGAAGGAAUUAAGUUAAUCCUGGAAAAGGGAGAUGUAGGCAGACAGGCAAAAAAAGUUGCUCCUGUUUCUCACUAUUGACAUCUGUUUUAUUGCCAAUAAAUUUAUUUUCCCCAAGUUGAGUCUGUUUUGUCUGUGACAGUAAUUUGACUGAGACAGAGUUGGAUGCAGUAAUGGCUUCAAGCUGUGCCAGGGAAGGUUCAGGCUGGAUGUUAGGAAAUACUACUUCUCUGAAAGGGUGGUCAGGCACUGGAAUGGGCUGCCCAGGGAGGUGGUGGAGUCACCAACCCUGGAGGUGUUCAAAGAACGUUUGGAUGUUGUGUUGAAGGACGUGGUUUAGCGAGAACCAUUGGUGAUGGGUGAAUGGUUGGACUGGAUGAUCCUGUGGGUCUUUUCCAACCUUAGCGAUUCUAUGAUUCUAUGAUUCUACUCCAGAUGGAGUCUCAUGAGGGCAGAACAGAGGAGAAUCAUUUCCCUACAUAUGCUAGUUGCACUGUUUUUGAUGCAGCCCAAAUUGGCUUACUAUGUUGCGAGAGCAUAUUGUUGGCUUGUACCAAGUUUCUCAUUCCCAAUUCCUCCUCAGUUCAUUUUCCUGCCUGUAUCUAUGUUUGGGAUUGCCCUGACCCAGCUGGAGAGCUGUUCAUGUCAGGCUGUGGUGACCAUACCAUUGCCUGGGCCAAGACCAGCAGUCUCUUGUGGGGUGCAGAAGCAAACUUUGUCGAGCCAGCAACCUACACUAUGGGAGUGGAACGGGCACAUUUUUUCCCAGGGUGCUUGUGGGGCCACAUGGUGCACCUGUCCAUGCUGAAUGCUGAUGCUGAAUCUAAACACAGAAAGUAGCAAGGGUGCAUGGUCAGCUGGAACACCCAUAUCUCCACAGGCAGUUUUAUGCUUGGGGUUUUGCGUGUUGGGCAGAGGGGUAACUCACUUGGCUAGAGAUUGCAAGUAAGUGGGUGUGUGUGUAUGACUGUAGCCUUCUGGGAUUGGUUAUGUAAGUCAAAGGUGUUUAACAAACUAUAGAUAUUUACUGGCAUUUUGUAUAUGUGAAGUACUGGUUAUUAAUAUUGGUCUGAAUUUACAGUUCACUGCCAGUUAAUUACAUGUCACCAAUAUAUAAAUGAAUCAAUCUUGAUUAGAUUUAAACUCAGUGAACUGAGCAGUAUUUCACAGCAAGAGCUUACUAGUAUUCUUUUUUAAUAAAGCGUAUGUCUUGAUCUGUAAAAUGUUAUAGCUGGCAAACUGAAAAAAUAUAAACUGCACUUAAUUGUAAAGUAUUUUCCCAAAGUUUCUUUGCACAUCUUUUAUUUUUAGUAAAUGUGUCUACUAAGUUGGUAUUUGUCUGCCUAAAAAAUAAGUGUUUACUGACAGACUUCGAUGUUAUAUUAGUUGACUUAGUUCUGUUAUAGUCAGUGGAAUCUAAUCAAUACAGUCAACAGUUACUACAUUUCUAAAAAGAAAAUCAUCUGACUAGCUGCUGGAUAUCUGAUUAUAUAGCAUACUAACAUUAUUUGAAAUUUGAGAUCUGUGGUCUCUCGACUGUCUUUAAGCUGUGAUUCCAUAAAGACUUGUUCUUAGGCUCUAUGCUUAUGCCUUGAUUAUGCUAGUGCAUUUUGAGAAUAUGUUUGUCUUCCACAAACUGAGUGAAGCUAUAGUUAUUUAUUUUAAAGGGAGAUAAUUUUUUUGUUAGCUAAGCAUCUACUGAUAUUAUUGGACUUCUGGAUAUUCAGAGCAUAUGUAGAUACUUAAAUACAGACACCUAAAAUUCCUUAAUUGAAAUUGUGACUAAAUCCCACCUUUUAUAGCAAGCACUUUCCAAUCUUAACCAAUGACCAUUUUGGAAUCUGUGAAAAUUUCAAAUUUGCAAUGUCUUCUAGGGGCUCUUGACUAACUUGAUACUCAAACAAAAAAUAAUCUUUGUUACUCUGCUGUAGUAUGAGGAUGCCUGUUAUUAACCAGUUGCAAUUCUCGCCAAUUUUGCAUUUCUGCUUGCAGAUUGGAGUACUUUAACCGAAGGGAAGGAGAUAAGUUGUAUUCUAGCCUUGCCUUCCAUUAGAGAACACUGAUAACUGUCAGUCCAUAUCUCUUCAAACUAAGAAGAUUUUUCAUCCCAAGUUCUGUAAUCAGAAGUCUACUUUACAAUAUGGAGCAGAUAUUUCCCCAUGGAGAAUAGCAUUUACAGGGAUAGCAUUUACGUAGCUAACAUUAGAGACUCCUUCUGUUCCUAUUCAUUCCAUUUGUAUUUGCAUGUUCUCACUUUUGAUUCGGCAUCCUGUGCAUCUCACUCCAAUUAUUUCUUCAGGUUUCUAGUUCUGCACUGCAAAAUGCACUUCCAGAACUCAAUGUUUAUUUUUAAGAUAAGGUAGUGUUAUAGUACCAACAUUUCUUUGACAGUUUGGCUCUUCGCUUUUUUGGGCUAGAUUCUGCUUGGUGUAGAUGUUUCAGCAAAUAAAGCUACUUGAUAAUAAGACCUUUUUCUUUAUAUCUGGAAUGGAGAAAUCAAUUUCUAAUUCCAAAGAUAACUUAGGAGAAUGUUGCAGUGCUCUGAAAAUUAGAACAUUGCUGGAACGAAACCAUGUAAAUGUUCUUCUGAAAAUGUAAGCUAUGAUUUUUUUAUGGAUGAAUGUGGAUGCUUUCUUUUUGUGGAAUGUGUGAAUGUGGAUACUUUUUAUAAUCCAUUUCAGGUUGCUAUAUUUCAUUUUAUUUAUUUAUUUAUUUAUUUAUUUAUUUAUUUAUUGUAGUGGUGGUUUUUAGUGUUCUAUUUAUUAGUGUUUUUAUUUUGCUUUUUAUUUUCCUGAGUGUAAAAAAUGUUUCAGAGCAUAACUGAAUUUUCAUAAGCCAAAACAGAAGGGUUUCUAGAUAAAUAUGAAUUUUUUUGUUUUGUUUUGUUUUUCUUAAACUCUGUUAAAUGCAUCACUGGAAUUUGUCUUCUUGUUUGUUUGUUUGUUUGUUUUUAAUUGUAGGGAAGGUAAAUCACUGUCAUUUGUUAACCAUAAGUCAAACUGGUUUGAUACACUUUUUCGAAGAGAUUCAUUUUCACUCAGAAACUAUAUCUUUGUUGCUUUGCGGAAUGCAUUUCAAACAAGUAUUGUUCUUACCAAAUAAAUAACAUUUCAUGAAAUCACAAAAUAUGCCUUAAACAGUGUAACGGUUUUAAAGCAUUUUAGUUAGCUAUUUGGCAAAUCAACAGAUGUAGAGUAUCACUGAGCAUGCAUGAUUUAUCUCCUGACAAUAGUGACUGUACUUUUAAGAGCAUAUAACACUGUCUUGUAUUAGCGCUUUAAUACACUAUUGAUUGUAAUCAUAAAACAGUUUGUAAAAAUAUUAAACACAAAAUUCUCAAAACGAUUAUGUACCCAUUUUUUUCUUACUAUCAAAUUUAUGAUGUGAUCCAUUGUUACUAGCAACACGUACAAAACUUCAAAAGAGGCAUUAAUAUCAGAUUUACUUACGUAGAAUAGAAAAGAUUACAUUAAUUACUUACAUAUUCAGAUCACAGCAUAAUAUUUCCUUUCACAUGAGAGCAAGAAGCACAUCAGACACUUCACAAAUGCUUCAAACAAACAUUUCCUGGAACUACUAGGAUCUCUAGGUAUUAGGAAGACAUUCUUUCCUAUGAGGGCGGUGAAGCACUGAAACAAGUUGCACAGAGAAGCUGUGGAUGCCUCAUCUCUGAAAGAGUUCAAGGUCAGGUUGGAUGAAAUACUGAG